GUUUCAUCCGGUUUCUCGGUUCAGCCAGACAGGUCAUUGCUUCAGCUGUCCAACAUCCAGUUUGUGGUGCUGCACACAACAAACCCCACUUUUUAGUGGAUAUAUUCAAGCGAACCCAAAGGCUCUUUUAAGAGCCAUCCACAUUGCACAGGACUUUUUCUAUUGGACGUCUUAUUCAUUAUUACGCUGAAAACUUAUAAAAACGCUGAAAACUUAUAAAAACGCUGAAAACGUAUAAAAACGCUUCUUGUGAUUCUGAAAAAACGCUUCUUGUGAUUCUGAAAAACGCUUCUUGUGAUUCUGAAAACCCCCUUCCUGUGAGCCUUAAAAUCUUCUUCCUGUGAAUCCAACUACAAAAACCAAGUUAACAUUGACACCAGUUAGUGAACUACAAUUUCUGCAAGAGAAAAGGAGCUCCAAAACAUCUCUUCCAGUACACCUUGCUGCCUGUUGUCUUCAAGAAGGACCACUGAUUCAAGUUCAGCUUUUGAAGACUACUGUUUAACGUUACAUUAGUUACAUUUUUGUGGUGUUGUUUAUCAUACAGGUUUAUUUUAUUUAAAUAGAUUUUAUAAGGUAUAUACAAUUAAAUAGUCUUUCUGUAGUCGUUUUAAUCACAUUUUGAUACAAAAACAUUUACUGUACAGUAGACGUUAAAGUACAUUUGGGUGACAUUUUAUUUAUUAUAAACAUUCUGCUACAUAUUACAUUAGUCUGAGUUAAUAAAUCUGUGCCAGUAUUACAUUAGUCUGAGUUAUAACAUUUUGGGUGACCUUUUAUUUAUUAUAAACAUUCUGCUACAUAUUACAUUAGUCUGAGUUAAUAAAUCUGUGCCAGUAUUACAUUAGUCUGAGUUAAUAAAUCUGUGCCAGUAUUACAUUAGUCUGAGUUAUAACAUUUUGGGUGACAUUUUAUUUAUUAUAAACAUUCUGCUACAUAUUACAUUAGUCUGAGUUAAUAAAUCUGUGCCAGUAUUACAUUAGUCUGAGUUAUAAUAUCUGUGUUACAUUAGUCUUAGUUGUUACACCUCUUUUAAGUAUUACAUUAGUUUUGAGUUGUUUAAUCUGUGCUAGAAUUACAUUAGUCUGAGUUAUAACAUCUGUUUUACAUUAGUCUGUGUUAUUACAUUUGGGUUAAGUCUUACACUAGUCAGUUAUAAUAUCUGUUUUAUAUUAAUCGGAGUUAUUAAAUCUGUGCUAGUAUAACAUUAGUUCUCUUUUUGCAUUCCUGUUUAUCUCAUAUAUAACUUCAGUGGAUAAGUAAACAGUAAAAAUUUCCUUAAAUCUUAUUUAAUCUGUGUUAGGAGAGUGUGAAUCAUACGUGACGUUGUGUGCUGUAUAACACCAUUGUGAUUUAAAGCAUUCGUGCUUACAGUUAAGCAAUA